UACGUAGGGUGCAAGCGUUGUCCGGAAUUAUUGGGCGUAAAGAGCUCGUAGGCGGUUUGUCGCGUCUGCUGUGAAAACCUAGGGCUUAACCCUGGGCCUGCAGUGGGUACGGGCAGACUAGAGUGCGGUAGGGGAGACUGGAAUUCCUGGUGUAGCGGUGAAAUGCGCAGAUAUCAGGAGGAACACCGGUGGCGAAGGCGGGUCUCUGGGCCGUAACUGACGCUGAGGAGCGAAAGCAUGGGGAGCGAAUGGG
rnacentral:rRNA from 1 species